AGUUUUUUAAACUGUUUGUGUUAAAAACAAAAAUAAAAUAAUAACUAAAUAAAUGAAUAAGUAUAUAAAGGUAGAGUGAGAAUAGCAGGUUGAAAGAAUCAAAGAGAAUUCCUAACAUUAGUUACCUAACUAACUUCAUUAUAUCUUAUCGACUCAAUUAGAGUUAAUCCCUAUCCUUGGUGCCAGCUACAUCAAGUCGAUGUUAAAUAAAG
rnacentral:misc_RNA from 1 species